rnacentral:lncRNA from 1 species
CUGAAUAGGUGGAUGAGGGCUAAUUUUAGACCAAAUGUGAUAGUUCCUUUUCCGUUUACCUUGUUCAAACUUCUCAGACUCGUGUAAAAACCCACUGCACCAAUCAACCAGGGUUCUGUCAGUAGACAGUAGUGUACAGACUCUGAUUUUCCAGAGAUCCUUGAACUGAGGGUUGGAACGCAGAAGUGUUGAGGUUAGGGCUCCGUUGAGCUAUAGAAAAAUUUCUUUCAGAGAGCGUUGAUCGCUACCGGAGCUUGGUUUGCCUUCGCCUCUGAAAGCAAGUCGCGGCGUUGCCUUCUCAGUCCCGUCGCCGGCGACCGAAAGAGAACAGGUGAAGUAGUAAAUUUUAGUUGAGUGCUUUCGGUUUUCUAAAAUUACCUUGUUAAUAACAAUUUUCUGUGCUGUUUUAUUGCUGGAAAAAUUGGAAUUUGGAAAUUAUCAAAUCUGGUAGUGUAUCGAUUCGAAGUUAGUCAAUGUAAAAUAUAGCUACUAAUUUGAUUAUUACUAACCAUUUAGAGAGUUGGUAAGUUCUUUAUAUCUCUCUCGAGUAUAAAUUCAAUGAAUUUGAAUUGUGAUUAUUGAACUUUACUGUGUUAUUUCUAUUUGUGAGUUGUUGAAAUUAAGUUGGUUUACUCUGUAAGUUUUAAAUUGAAUGAGAUUUAUUUGUGAGUUGUGAAUUCAUUUUUGAGUUUUGAAUUUUAAGAAAUUUAUUUAUGGGCUGUAAAUUUAAGGAAAUUCAUUUCUGAGUUGUGAACACAUUUGUGGAUUGAAUAGAAAGAAAAUCUAUUUGAAAGCAUAACUAAUAAUGCGACCAUCGAUGAUUUUCAAAGCAUGAAAACUCAAAGAAGUUUUAUGUUUUAGAAUGACUAAUGACUGAUCAAAUAAAAAAAUCAGGAGUUACAUUUCAGAUUUAUAAUAAUUUCGAUUCAAUUUGCAAAUACAUAUUUUUAUUUGAUACUAACUCAAAAAUCACUGCUCAAGUCUCGUUACAAAUCUAAACUCAUCAGUGUAAUUUGUACUUUGAUUUCUCGUGAGAGUAAGAAAAACUUAUGAAUUUGACUAUUUUAUUAAAAUGCUGUAGCUUGAUUACUUUGGUUACGAGCAGUGAGUAUUACUUUGUUGUAAUAACUACUUUAUGGUCAUAUUAUUAGAGGUCGUACCAGUUGAAAUGGUGCAACUUCAGUUCUGUAAGAACUAAGAAGAAUGGGGUGAAGGGAGUUAGAAAGGAUUGUCAAUUGUGGUGGCCUAAGUUGCUCGGACUCGGGUGCGGGUGUCCGAUACAGGUGCGGAUCUAGAGGCCAGAUCCUUCAUGAUCUAAAUUUUAAAUUCGGGAGUACGGAUCGAGGUACAGAUAGGAUUCGGCUAAAAUUAAUUCAAAUAGUUAAAAAUAGAGUUAUAAAAAUAUGUCUAACUUAUGAGACAUUAUGUGGAAAACUUACAAGGUAUUUCGAGAAGGAGAAAAUAUUGAACAAGAGGAGAAUCCGAAAGGAGAUAAAAGGAAAAGGACUGACAUAGAAAUUCUAUAUACAAGGUAUUCCAUUUUCUGCAAUAUCACCCUAGCUUUUGUUUUGUUUUAAAAACAUUGUAUCUGUCCCGAAUUUCUCCGUUGAUUUUAGUCAAAGUACUAAAAAUCGGUUGAUCAGAUCCGAUACGGAUCCCACCCCCACCUCUACACCCACGUCGUGUCGACACGGGUGCGGCACCGAAAGUGAAGAGUCUGAGCAACUUAGAUGGUGGCUAAGCAAUUUAGAUAUGUAUGCUCGGCAUUCCAAGAAAAUGACAUAAUAGAUGAUGCCAACACAAAAUUAAAAAAUGAUAAUUGAAAUGGAGAAG